AGAGUUUGAUCCUGGCUCAGAAUGAACGCUGGCGGCAUGGAUUAGGCAUGCAAGUCGAACGUGCUCCCUUCGGGGAGAAAGUGGCGAAAGGGUGAGUAACACGUGAGCAACCUGCCUCCGGAUCCGGAAUAAUCCAGGGAAACUUGGUCUAAAACCGGAUGAAGACAUUGGUCCGCAUGGUCUAAUGUUAAAAUAUUUAUAGUCCGGAGAGGGGCUCGCGGCCCAUUAGCUUGUUGGCGGGGUAAUGGCCCACCAAGGCUACGACGGGUAGGUGGUCUGAGAGGAUGGUCACCCACACUGGGACUGAGACACUGCCCAGACUCCUACGGGAGGCUGCAGUCGAGAAUCUUCCGCAAUGGGCGCCAAGCCUGACGGAGCGAUGCCGCGUGAGGGAUGAAGGCCUUCGGGUUGUAAACCUCUGUCAUCCGGGACGAAAACAAUGACGGUACCGGAAAAGGAAGCCACGGCUAACCACGUGCCAGCCGCCGC
rnacentral:rRNA from 1 species